rnacentral:tRNA from 1 species
GGGAGGUUAGCUCCGUUGGCAGAGCAGCGGACUUUUAAUCCGUUCGUGACUGGUUCGAAUCCAGUACGACCCG